AUUUUCAUCCGAGCCAAUCAUAUCAUUAAAACUGUAUGAGGGCAAUAAUCUAGAAAAAGUUUUAUCUGCGUUAGCUGAUUCAACAGCUCCCGUACCUGGCGUAAGGACAGAUAGAGUAAUCAAUGUGGCAAGGAGAAUGCUCAAAGGUGGCGGUAGACAGAAGGCGAUGAAGCUUAUGUUUAUCAUAACAAAUGGUAAUUCUAAGAUCAACCCUAAAAAAUCAGCGGAUUUUGCUAGAAGUGAUAUAAAUGCGAAAAUAUUUGUAAUACCGAUAUCCUCUAACGAUGUUGAUUUUACCCAAUUGAAAGUUAUAACAAGUC